AAACACUAAUAUACUGUUUUUAAAUAUAAAUAACUGUUUUCACUAUACUAAAAAUGGUAUGUAGGAAUUUCGGACGCGGGUUCAACUCCCGCCAGCUCCACCA
rnacentral:tmRNA from 1 species